rnacentral:rRNA from 1 species
GGUUAAGCGACCAAGCGUACACGGUGGAUGCCCUGGCAGUCAGAGGCGAUGAAGGACGUGCUAAUCUGCGAAAAGCGCCGGCGAGGUGAUAUGAACCCUUGACCCGGCGAUGUCCGAAUGGGGAAACCCGGUGCACUACGGUGCAUCAUCGUUAGCUGAAUACAUAGGCUAACGAGGCGAACCGGGGGAACUGAAACAUCUAAGUACCCCGAGGAAAAGAAAUCAACCGAGAUUCCCCCAGUAGCGGCGAGCGAACGGGGAGGAGCCCAGAGCCUGAAUCAGCUUGUGUGUUAGUGGAAGCGUCUGGAAAGUCGCACGGUACAGGGUGAAAGUCCCGUACACGAAAACGCACAGGCUGUGAGCUCGAUGAGUAGGGCGGGACACGUGGUAUCCUGUCUGAAUAUGGGGGGACCAUCCUCCAAGGCUAAAUACUCCUGACUGACCGAUAGUGAACCAGUACCGUGAGGGAAAGGCGAAAAGAACCCCGGCGAGGGGAGUGAAAAAGAACCUGAAACCGUGUACGUACAAGCAGUGGGAGCCUCUUUUAUGGGGUGACUGCGUACCUUUUGUAUAAUGGGUCAGCGACUUAUAUUCUGUAGCAAGGUUAACCGUAUAGGGGAGCCGAAGGGAAACCGAGUCUUAACUGGGCGUUAAGUUGCAGGGUAUAGACCCGAAACCCGGUGAUCUAGCCAUGGGCAGGUUGAAGGUUGGGUAACACUAACUGGAGGACCGAACCGACUAAUGUUGAAAAAUUAGCGGAUGACCUGUGGCUGGGGGUGAAAGGCCAAUCAAACCGGGAGAUAGCUGGUUCUCCCCGAAAGCUAUUUAGGUAGCGCCUCGUGAA